CUUAUUGGCUCUCUAUAUAUAUAUAUAUGUAAAUAUUGUGUGUCAAGUUUAUAUUUUUGGAUUUUCCCAUCAAUUGCAUGUAACUUUUCUCUUCUCAUUAAGACAUGGGAUUACAUACUUAAUUUUGGUCUAUAUCUCUGAAGCUCUCUGAAGCUUACAAGACCUGAUAAAUUGUGUCAGUUUUUCUUCUUCUUUGUUUUGUAUUACUAUACAGAUAUGUCUCUUGACCACUUGAACUGGUGGUUUCAGUGAUUAUAAAUUUUUAUUUUGUAGUUUGGGAUCUUUGUUAAGCAAUGUACACAGAAUGUUUCAGGUCCUACUAUCAGUCUUGCGAGACUUAUCGGAAGAUACAUGAAGCUUCAAGAAUAGACAGCCACAAACUUAUACCAAUGUGGUUCAGGGAUAGAAGAGAGAAAGAGCAACAACGUCUAUGUAAUAUCCAAAGAGAUGAUGAUGCUGUAACAUCACAAGCACCUCAAGAACCUACGACUCCUAAUGCUGGUGAUGCCUUACGUUCACUGUAGGAUCAAUAUUGAAUCACACAUGAAUCGACCAACACAUAUUUCUCCUCUUAAGGAUUAUCUAUGAGCAAGCUGUUACUCGGAGCGUAAAAACUGAGAAUCAAGAUGCUUUUCAAAGAUUACUUCCUUUUGACAUUGGCAAAAGUCUAUUUCCAAAAGGGGGUUGUCUCAGUGUUUCCUUUUUCUAUGGAGCUUCGCUGUAUACAUGGUCAAUCCAUUUCUCAGGCCAUGAACUCAAAGAAAGAAGAAGAGGAAGGCAAUGAAAGAACCACAUUUGAAAACGUGGCAAGAGAGAUUAUUAAACAAUAGACACACCUCACUUGACUUUUUCAGGUGGUUUUGGACACCAAUGAAUAUCGCUAUUGUAAUGAAAUAUGCUAAUGGAGGUGAACUAUUUGAGCAUAUAUGUAGCGCUGGAAGAUUCAGGGAGGAUGAUGCAAGAUAAUUUUUCCAGAAGAUUAUUUCAAGAGCCAGCUAUUGCCAUGAUGUAGUAAGAAAUGACUUACGAAGUUCUUCUUAACUCUCGCAGACUUACUGAAGCUUUGUUUAUCAUUCCUGUAAUCACAUUAUUUUUCUUUAUAGUCAUAGCAAAUAUGCCAGUGUUAGGAGGAAACUGGAAAAAUAUCACUAUGUUUAUAAUCAGGGACAUCUGCAAACAUAUAUAUGCCUUCGGGCUUUCCAUUUUGGUGAAAAGAUUUUUGUGUAUAGGAUAAGGGUAAUGUCACCUUGAUUUAAAUUUCAUCUAUGGGAUCCUCAUUCUCUCCGUAACCUGAACUCUUUAUAAAUUAAUCAAAUUCUAUAUAACCACAAAAUAAAAAGGGCAACAAAUUAUUGACAGAGUCUGGAUUUUUCAGAUUAAGCUAAAAAUUUAAAAGAACAUAAAAAGCUGGUUGUUUAUAUGACACCAAUAAACACCUCUGAACUAAAAUUAAAUAAAUAAACACUGA